rnacentral:lncRNA from 1 species
UAGUCAAAUCGAUCAAUUCAACCAAAGGUACAUCGUUCUUCAGUCAGACUUUCUAUAUCUCCAUAGACAUCUUUAACUUCGUUUCAGGCAUUCUGAAGUUGCAUCAAAAGGACUUUUAAACCAUACAAAAGGUUGCUAUAGAGUUGCAAAAUAGUAAGACUGAGUCACAACACCAAAAAUUCUGAUCAAAAACUUUAAUUCAAUCCACCA